rnacentral:rRNA from 1 species
GCAUUUAUUAGAUAAAAAGCCAGUUCAUGCUUUUACAGUAUGAAAAUUGGUGAUUUAUAAUAACUUAGCAAAUCGCAAAGUGAAAACAGGCGAUAAAUCAUUCAAGUUUCUGACCUAUCAGCUUUCGACGGUAUGGUAUUGGCUUACCGUGGCAGUGACGGUUAACGGGGGAUUAGGGUUCGAUUCCGGAGAGGGAGCCUGAGAAACGGCUACCACAUCUAAGGAAGGCAGCAGGCGCGCAAAUUACCCAAUUCUAACAGUUUGAGAGAGGUAGUAACAAGAAAUAACAAUACAAGGCAGUUAAAAUGCUUUGUAAUUGGAAUGAUAGAAAUUUAAACCCUUUUUAAAGUAUCAAUUGGAGGGCAAGUCUGGUGCCAGCAGCCGCGGUAAUUCCAGCUCCAAUAGCGUAUAUUAAAAUUGUUGCAGUUAAAAAGCUCGUAGUUGAAGUUCUGCUGAAAGUAACCGGUCUGCUUUUAAUAAAAGUGGUAUCUUGGUAUGUAUUUAGCAAUGAUGUCCUUUGAAGUGUUUUUUACUUUAUUGUAAUAAAGCAUAUUCAGGACUUUUACUUUGAGAAAAUUAGAGUGUUUCUAGCAGGCUGACGCUUUGAAUACUGCAGCAUG